AACGAACGCUGGCGGCAGGCCUAACACAUGCAAGUCGAGCGAAGCCUUCGGGCUUAGCGGCGGACGGGUGAGUAACGCGUGGGAACGUGCCCUUUGGUACGGAAUAGCCCCGGGAAACUGGGAGUAAUACCGUAUGUGGUCGAGAGACGACAGUUUUAUCGCCAAAGGAUCGGCCCGCGUUGGAUUAGGUAGUUGGUGGGGUAAUGGCCUACCAAGCCGACGAUCCAUAGCUGGUUUGAGAGGAUGAUCAGCCACACUGGGACUGAGACACGGCCCAGACUCCUACGGGAGGCAUCAGUGGGGAAUCUUAGACAAUGGGGGAAACCCUGAUCUAGCCAUGCCGCGUGAUCGAUGAAGGCCUUAGGGUUGUAAAGAUCUUUCAGUGGGGAAGAUAAUGACUGUACCCACAGAAGAAGCCCCGGCUAACUCCGUGCCAGCAGCCGCCGUAAGAC
rnacentral:rRNA from 1 species